rnacentral:pre_miRNA from 1 species
CCUUUGCUUUAACAUGGAGGUACCUGCUGCUUAAAAAAGUAAGUGCUUCCAUGUUUCAGUGGCGG